rnacentral:rRNA from 1 species
GAUGAACGCUGGCGGCAUGCCUAAUACAUGCAAGUCGAACGAGAGGAAGGAAAGCUUGCUUUUCUGAAUCUAGUGGCGAACGGGUGAGUAACACGUAAGUAACCUGCCCAUGUGCCCGGGAUAACUUCUGGAAACGGAUGCUAAAACCGGAUAGGUAGCAGACAAGCAUUUGACUACUAUUAAAGUGGCUAAGGCCAUGAACAUGGAUGGACCUGCGGUGCAUUAGCUAGUUGGGAAGGUAACGGCCCACCAAAGCGACGAUGCAUAGCCGGCCUGAGAGGGCGGACGGCCACAUUGGGACUGAGACACGGCCCAAACUCCUACGGGAGGCAGCAGUAGGGAAUUUUCGUCAAUGGGGGGAACGCUGAACGAGCAAUGCCGCCUGAGUGAGGAAAGUCUUCGGAUCGUAAAGCUCUGUUGUAAGAGAAAAACGACAUUCAUAGGGAAUGAUGAGUGAGUGAUGGUAUCUUACCAGAAAGUCACGGCUAACUACGUGCCAGCAGCCGCCGUAACAC